CGGGGGGAGCAAGCGUUGUUCGGAAUCACUGGGCGUAAAGGGCGUGUAGGCGGUUGAGUAAGUGGAAUGUGAAAUGCCCCGGCUCACCCGGGGACCGGCAUUCCAUACUGUUCAGCUCGAGUAUGGGAGAGGAUGAGGGAAUUCCUGGUGUAGCGGUGAAAUGCGUAGAUAUCAGGAGGAACACCGGUGGCGAAAGCGCUCAUCUGGCCCAAUACUGACGCUGAGGCGCGGAAGCUAGGGGAGCAAACGGGAUUAGAUACCCCGGUAGUCCUAGCCGUAAACGGUGAUCACUAGGUGUUGGAGGCAUCGACCCCUCCAGUGCCGCAGCUAACGCAUUAAGUGAUCCGCCUGGGGAGUACGGCCGCAAGGUUG
rnacentral:rRNA from 1 species